AGGGAAAGAGGGAGGGAGGAAGAAAAAAGGAAAGUAGAAUGGAAGCACAGUAGGAGCUUGCUCUUACGGGUGGCGAGUGGCGGACGGGUGAGGAAUACAUCGGAAUCUACUUUUUUGUGGGGGAUAACGUAGGGAAACUUACGCUAAUACCGCAUACGACCUACGGGUGAAAGCAUGGGAUCUUCGGACCUUGCGCGAUUGAAUGAGCCGAUGUCGGAUUAGCUAGUUGGCGGGGUAAAGGCCCACCAAGGCGACGAUCCGUAGCUGGUCUGAGAGGAUGAUCAGCCACACUGGAACUGAGACACGGUCCAGACUCCUACGGGAGGCAGCAGUGGGGAAUAUUGGACAAUGGGCGCAAGCCUGAUCCAGCCAUACCGCGUGGGUGAAGAAGGCCUUCGGGUUGUAAAGCCCUUUUGUUGGGAAAGAAAAGCAGCAGGUUAAUACCCCGCUGUUCUGACGGUACCAAAAGAAUAAGCACCGGCUAACUUCGUA
rnacentral:rRNA from 1 species